CUACGGGGGGCAGCAGUAGGGAAUCUUGCGCAAUGGAGGAAACUCUGACGCAGCGACGCCGCGUGAGUGAUGAAGGCCUUCGGGUUGUAAAGCUCUGUUCUUAGGGAAUAAAAAAAUGAAGGUACCUGAGAAGAAAGGACCGGCUAACUUCGUGCCAGCAGCCGCGGUAAGACGAGGGGUCCUAGCGUUGUUCGGAAUCAUUGGGCGUAAAGCGGGUGUAGGCGGUAAUGUAAGUCAGAAGUGAAAGCCCUGGGCUCAACCCAGGAAGUGCUUUUGAUACUGCAUAACUUGAGUGUGGGAGAGGUUAGUAGAAUUCCUGGUGUAGUGGUGAAAUACGUAGAUAUCAGGAGGAAUACCGGUGGGGAAGCCGGCUAACUGGCUCAACACUGACGCUCAGACCCGAAAGCGUGGGGAGCAAACAGGAUUAGAUACCCUUGUAGUC
rnacentral:rRNA from 1 species